UACGGAGGGGGCAAGCGUUGUUCGGAAUUACUGGGCGUAAAGGGCGCGUAGGCGGCCUGUUAAGUCGAACGUGAAAUCCCCGGGCUCAACCCGGGAACUGCGUCCGAUACUGGCAGGCUCGAAUCCGGGAGAGGGAUGCGGAAUUCCAGGUGUAGCGGUGAAAUGCGUAGAUAUCUGGAGGAACACCGGUGGCGAAGGCGGCAUCCUGGACCGGCAUUGACGCUGAGGCGCGAAAGCCAGGGGAGCAAACGGG
rnacentral:rRNA from 1 species